rnacentral:rRNA from 1 species
UACGGAGGGUGCGAGCGUUGUCCGGAAUCACUGGGCGUAAAGGGCGCGUAGGCGGCUUGGGUAGUCCGUGGUGAAAGCUCGAGGCUCAACUUCGAGUCGGCCGUGGAUACUCCUAAGCUGGAGCACUGUAGAGGCAGGUGGAAUUCCGGGUGUAGCGGUGGAAUGCGUAGAGAUCCGGAAGAACACCGGUGGCGAAGGCGGCAUCCUGGACCGACACUGACGCUGAGGAGCGAAAGCGUGGGGAGCAAACAGGAUUGAG